AUUGAACGCUGGCGGCAUGCCUAACACAUGCAAGUCGAGCGAGCGGCGGACGGGUGAGUAAUGUAUGGGGACCUGUCCGUUAGCGGCGGAUAACUACUGGAAACGGUAUCUAAUACCGCACACUAUCCGAUUAACCCAUAGGGGAUUAGCUAGUAGGUGAGGUAAUGGCCUACAUAGGCGACGAUCCCUAGCUGGACUGAGAGGAUGAUCAGCCACACUGGGACUGAGACACGGCCCAGACUCCUACGGGAGGCAGCAGUGGGGAAUAUUGCACAAUGGACGAAAGCCUGAUGCAGCCAUGCCGCGUGUGUGAAGAAGGCCCUAGGGUUGUAAAAUGCUUUCAGUAGGGAGGCGUUACCGACAGAGAAAGCACCGGCUAACUACGUGCCAGCAGCCGCGGUAAUAC
rnacentral:rRNA from 1 species